rnacentral:rRNA from 1 species
CCUACGGGUGGCAGCAGUGAGGAAUAUUGGUCAAUGGGCGGAAGCCUGAACCAGCCAAGUAGCGUGCGGGAUGAAGGCCCUACGGGUCGUCAACCUCUUUUGUACGGGGAUAACACCCUCCACUUGUGGAGGUCUGCAGGUACCUUGCGAAUAAGGGCCGGCUAAUUCCGUGCCAGCAGCCGCGGUAAUACGGAGGGGCCGAGCGUUAUCCGGAUUCAUUGGGCUUAAAGGGAGCGUAGGCGAGCGUGCAAGUCAGCGGUAAAAUCGCGCGGCUCAACCGCGCCCAGAAGUUGAAACUGGACGCCUUGAGUGCACAACAGGCAGGCGGAAUUCGUGGUGUAGCGGUGAAAUGCAUAGAUAUCACGAAGAACCCCGAUUGCGAAGGCAGCCUGCCGGGGUGCGACUGACGCUGAGGCUCGAAGGUGCGGGUAUCGAACAGGAUUAGAUACCCUUGUAGUC